rnacentral:misc_RNA from 1 species
UCCACCCACAAUAAAUGUGCGCGCGCCUUGACUUGUUCCACAUGUUUUUUUCAUACACGGACGUCAGAAUUGAGAAUUUGGAUUGUGAGCCAGUCAGAUUUAUUGGCACGUGCAUAUUGAUGUAUAUAGGAGAACUAUUCCAUUUAGUUAGGCGACAAAAUGAGUAAGAAGCGAAACAGACAGCCAGAUGCGGAUUGCGAUGCCAGCGAGGCCUCCACCGAGUCUUGCGAGGAAACGAGCGCAGGUACAAAAUGUUUGCAUAUAGCUAAAGCUGUCAAUCUGAAUAAAGUGAAGAAGAAUAUAAAGAAGAUUGGAAUAAUGAAUAAAUGUUCCGUUUGUAAGAAAUUAGAAGUGGACCUUAAAAAAACAGAAGAAAUUUAUUUCUCAAAGCCAUUGUGGAUUUGCUUACAAUGUGGAGAUCAAAAUUGUGAUAAGGAAAAGCAUGCUAUAGAGCACUAUAAAAAGCCCCACAGUGAUUGUCAUUGCAUAGUGAUAGACAUUCAUCAUUGGAAUGUUUGGUGUUUCCAAUGUGAAAUUGAAAUUCAUCCUAAUAGCAGACACAUAUCACAUGAUAUGCACAUACAUGGUAAAAAGUUGUUAGAAACUAUUGAAUUCAUCAAGAAAUGUGCUACUAUGCAAAUACCACAACCGAAAACACCAGUAACACAAUGUCAAAAUCAAACAGAGAUCAUAACUGAUGUGCAGGAGAAAGAGAAGCAUAAAAUAUUGAAUAAUCUUCCCAAAGUUGGGGGUUUAGCAAAUUUAGGAAAUACCUGCUUCUUCAAUGCUGUACUUCAGUGCCUAUCACAGACUCCUUAUUUAAUGAAGGUGCUGGACGAUCUGCGUUUACCCGGACAAAAAUUUAUCUUGCCAGGUGGAAAGCACAAACCUUUGGAUGCAGAGGAAGAAGUGGAAUUUCCACCAAUUGAAGGGACCUUAGAGCGAUGGGGCAGUUUCACAUCGGUUCUUUGUGAAACUCUAUCAAAAAUGCAGAAUACUAACGGCUAUCAGACAUAUACACCUCUGAAUUUACUUUGUAAGCUUAGGAAAAAAACUACACAAUGUGUUGAUGGAGGGCAACACGACUCGCACGAAUUACUCCGACAUUUGUUGGAAAUAGUGCGAAAUGAGGAUCUUCGAAGAUACCAGAGCAUAAUUCUAAAAGAGGUAGGCUUGAGUGAAAAAACGAAACCAGACGGUGUAGAGAAGAGUCUGAAAUCACGCGUGAAAUUCUACGGCAACCAAGCAAGCACGCGAUUACUGGGACCAGAAACGGUAUUUCGUGGUGUGUUGGUAUCUACCUUACAGUGUCUGGAUUGUCAUCAUUCGUCGCAACGCACUGAGCCAUUCCUAGAUCUGAGUCUCCCUGUUACAGCAGACAAAUCACAGCCUCCGCUCUUGAAAAGGAAGAACAAUGAAAACGACACCUUUUUCGAUGUGACGAACAAUCAGCAACGCGAUUAUCAAACUCUUGACACAUCUUGGAAGCAAUUGAAAAAAGAAAAGAAGGCAGCCAGGAAAAACCGAAAGAUUAAAAGGCAUGAGAAUCAUAACAAUUAUGUGCUAAAAGAUUUGAAUAAUUUCACGGAAGAAAAUAAUGACAACACACCAAAGUCAGAGGAGAGUGAUGCUGAUGUAGAGGACAAUAUUGAAGUAGAUCAUUCUCAUCCAGAAAUUGGAGAAUCUGGAUAUAGUUCGGAAAAAGCGUCCGCCGUCACCAGUCCUAUAUCUCUUAUUGAUCCCCAUCAUCAUCCAAGCAACGACUUCAGUAACGAUAUCAACAAUCUGACAAGUCUGGAAGACGGUAAUCUGGGUAACAAUGCGGACAUAACACAAAUUAGACACCUGGUGAACAUUAACGUGUUAACUAGUCCUAGUCCAACCGAUGUAUCGAUGACAGACUUGACUCAAAUCAGAAUGCCGUCAGAAAAAAGCGAUAGGAAUGUCAGCUCAGUCAAUUCGGAGAACGAAGCAUCAGCUACGACAUUAUCUACCUCCAUGGUUCCUAAUUCUGAUGUCACAAGCCCUGAGGCACCCACUGCGAGUUUAAGCAGCUCCAUCGCUUCUAAGGAAAGCCCUACUAGUCCCGUUAAUGAUACAGAAAGAUUAGACGGUGUCGAGACAUGGAUGGCAACUACCUUAUCAAAAUGCAAUAGAAAUAAAUAUAAUGACGGAACUCCUAAUGAUGAUGAUGCCGAAGAACAAGAUUUAUGUAAUGAACUCGGCGAUAUUAUGAUGGGAAUGUCUAAAUUGGGAAUUUCGGAACAUCAGUCUGGGAGAUACAAAACUAAAGAAGGCGAAUGUUCUGUGGAAUCAUGUUUGAACCAAUUUACUGCACUGGAACUAAUGACAGGAAGUAACAAAGUCGUGUGCGAAGCGUGCACAGCUCGCGAGAAAAAGAGUCAGGAGAGUUCAUCGAAAAUGGUUUCAAACGCAAAGAGUUGGUUUUCGAAAAGUUCUCAAGCAUGUGUCAUUUCCGAUGUUAUUGAACUUGGCACCAGUUUGUACGGAUUAUAAAAAACGUCGACUUUAUGCGCUUUAUGGGGUCGUCGAACAUAGUGGAACCGUUCAUGGUGGUCAUUAUGUUGCUUAUGUAAAGACAAGGCUGCCAUUAUCAUCGGAUGACCACCGAUGGAGUUUUCUUCCUAAGGAUAAGGAUCCUAAAUUGGAUAAUGUUAAAUCGAGUAAUACCAGUUCAGAUUCGGAAGGAGAGGAAGCAUCGGCGAAAGCCGCAUCUGUUGUAGAACCACCACCUGGAAGAUGGUAUUAUGUAUCAGAUUCU